rnacentral:other from 2 species
CCGAAGCUGCGGGGCAGGUGCAGGUACCAACAUCCCUCGGGCCGAUAAUUGCUACUUUUGGGAGCUGUCCCUUGCGCGGGCCUUGGCCUGCGUGAUACGGCGCCCACCUGGUCAACCGGGCUAGUAGUGGAUUUGAUGCAUACCCACGGCUUUCGUGGCUUCACU